GGUCUGAGAGGAUGACCAGCCACACUGGAACUGAGACACGGUCCAGACUCCUACGGGAGGCAGCAGUGGGGAAUAUUGCACAAUGGGCGCAAGCCUGAUGCAGCCAUGCCGCGUGUAUGAAGAAGGCCUUCGGGUUGUAAAGUACUUUCAGCGGGGAGGAAGGGAGUAAAGUUAAUACCUUUGCUCAUUGACGUUACCCGCAGAAGAAGCACCGGCUAACUCCGUGCCAGCAGCCGCGGUAAUACGGAGGGUGCAAGCGUUAAUCGGAAUUACUGGGCGUAAAGCGCACGCAGGCGGUUUGUUAAGUCAGAUGUGAAAUCCCCGGGCUCAACCUGGGAACUGCAUCUGAUACUGGCAAGCUUGAGUCUCGUAGAGGG
rnacentral:rRNA from 1 species